GUCGUAUUUGACUACGAAUCUUCCUUCAUUUUUUUUGCCUGUUAAGUCCAUGUUGCCACCUAUUACCCGCUUAACACCAGUACUGAAAACAUGGUUGCUUUUAUUUUUUGAAAGAUUUACAGCAAUAGAUAUUUUCACAGGUCCCACAGCAUAAUCAGCUACGACACAUCUGGCUGCGACUUCGGAAAACUGAAAAUAGCGCUCAGCUUCGUACCACUUCCCUAAGAACCUGUUCAUGUCGAAAUGGGGCAUUGGCAGGUAAUCAGGACAAAACCCGAACCCAGGAAUCUGCGCCCGCACCGCACAAACCACAACCGAAAUUAUUAAAUAUAACCGAUUCAUCGUUGAAGAGAUUUUGUUACUCAUUCACUUCGGUCCAGCCUUUAUAUAGCUAAAGUACCGGUACUUUGACUUCUUUUUCCGAACAUCACAUUACCUGAACGUGUUCAAAAGUUCAAGUUAACGUUUUUUUGUAUUAUUCGGUAAAUUAAAUGUAUUAUAUGCGGUUUUUCCUAAGAAAAAGGGUUAAAUUUUUAUCUUUUAGGCAUUUUAUACAAUUAUUUUAAAAAAAAUAUUCAAUCCCCUUGAUUUAUUAUGAAAAAUUGCACAUAUUUUUCAAAUCCCUAUAGGAUCAAUAUUAUUUUUUAUAACAUCUGUGUAUAUGAUAUGGCAGUAUAGUGGAUUAAAUCUUUACCCUAAACUUGAAUAUAUAGUUUACUUUUUAGUUGGUGGAUUUAAUGACUAUUAUUGCAACUUUUUUAAUCGCCCAGGUAAACCGAAAAGAAAUGAGCUGUCAAGAAGGCAAUAUAAAGUUACACAGAAUACAGACCAGUAUCAACAGAUGAGUACGUUAGGUCAAACGGUUCUUAUAAAGAUUUGUUUACAGAAAAGGCAAUGCCCUUAGAUGGCCUGAUGAACUUGCGACCAAAACUUUCCUUUAGGCUUUAAGAUGUUCAUAAUACUUUUUUUAUUAGAUGGUUGUGCAACGUAUUCAAUAAUUAAACUAGUUUUUUAA